rnacentral:rRNA from 1 species
UACGAAGGGGGCUAGCGUUGCUCGGAAUCACUGGGCGUAAAGGGUGCGUAGGCGGGGCUUUAAGUCCGGGGUGAAAUCCUGGAGCUCGACUCCAGAACUGCCUUUGAUACUGAGGAUCUUGAGUUCGGGAGAGGUGAGUGGAACUGCGAGUGUAGAGGUGAAAUUCGUAGAUAUUCGCAAGAACACCAGUGGCGAAGGCGGCUCACUGGCCCGAUACUGACGCUGAGGCACGAAAGCGUGGGGAGCAAACAGG